UACAGAGGGUGCAAGCGUUAAUCGGAAUUACUGGGCGUAAAGCGCGCGUAGGUGGUUCGUUAAGUUGGAUGUGAAAUCCCCGGGCUCAACCUGGGAACUGCAUUCAAAACUGUCGAGCUAGAGUAUGGUAGAGGGUGGUGGAAUUUCCUGUGUAGCGGUGAAAUGCGUAGAUAUAGGAAGGAACACCAGUGGCGAAGGCGACCACCUGGACUGAUACUGACGCUGAGACGCGAAAGCGUGGGGAGCAAACAGG
rnacentral:rRNA from 1 species